rnacentral:tRNA from 1 species
GCGGGGAUAGCUCAGUUGGGAGAGCGUCAGACUGAAGUAAACUCAGUUGUAAAUCUGAAGGUCGUGUGUUCAAUCCACACUCACCGCA